GUCAGAUGUGUAUAAGAGCCAGGUGAAUCAUCGAAUCUUUGAACGCACAUUGCGCCCCUUGGUAUUCCGGGGGGCAUGCCUGUUCGAGCGUCAUUUCAACCCUCAAGCUUAGCUUGGUAUUGAGUCUAUGUCAGUAAUGGCAGGCUCUAAAAUCAGUGGCGGCGCCGCUGGGUCCUGAACGUAGUAAUAUCUCUCGUUACAGGUUCUCGGUGUGCUUCUGCCAAAACCCAAAUUUUUCUAUGGUUGACCUCGGAUCAGGUAGGGAUACCCGCUGAACUUAAGCAUAUCAAUAAGCGGAGG
rnacentral:misc_RNA from 1 species